rnacentral:rRNA from 1 species
CCUACGGGUGGCAGCAGUGAGGAAUAUUGGUCAAUGGGAGGAAGCCUGAACCAGCCAUGCCGCGUGCAGGACGACGGCUCUACGAGUUGUAAACUGCUUUUGUACCGGGGUAAACUUCUCUACGAGUAGGGUUUUGAAAGUACGGUACGAAUAAGGAUCGGCUAACUCCGUGCCAGCAGCCGCGGUAAUACGGAGGAUCCAAGCGUUAUCCGGAUUUAUUGGGUUUAAAGGGUGCGUAGGCGGUUGGAUAAGUUAGAGGUGAAAUCCCGGGGCUCAACUUCGGAAUUGCCUUUGAUACUGUUGGGCUAGAGAAUAGUUGCGGUAGGCGGAAUGUAUGGUGUAGCGGUGAAAUGCUUAGAGAUCAUACAGAACACCGAUUGCGAAGGCAGCUUACCAAGCUACUUCUGACGUUGAGGCACGAAAGCGUGGGGAGCAAACAGGAUUAGAUACCCUGGUAGUC